CAGUAGUCACGUAGUUGAUCCUCGGCUACAGAACGAACGCUGGCGGCAGGCCUAACACAUGCAAGUCGAGCGCCCGCAAGGGGAGCGGCGGACGGGUGAGUAACGCGUGGGAACGUACCCUUUGCUACGGAAUAGCCUCGGGAAACUGGGAGUAAUACCGUAUGUGCCCUUCGGGGGAAAGAUUUAUCGGCAAAGGAUCGGCCCGCGUUGGAUUAGGUAGUUGGUGGGGUAAUGGCCUACCAAGCCGACGAUCCAUAGCUGGUUUGAGAGGAUGAUCAGCCACACUGGGACUGAGACACGGCCCAGACUCCUACGGGAGGCAGCAGUGGGGAAUCUUAGACAAUGGGCGCAAGCCUGAUCUAGCCAUGCCGCGUGAUCGAUGAAGGCCUUAGGGUUGUAAAGAUCUUUCAGUGGGGAAGAUAAUGACUGUACCCACAGAAGAAGCCCCGGCUAACUCCGUG
rnacentral:rRNA from 1 species